AGUGAAGCGGCAAGAGCUCAAAUUUGAAAGCUGGCUCCUUCGGGGUCCGCAUUGUAAUUUGCAGAGGAUGCUUCGGGAGCGGCCCCCAUCUAAGUGCCCUGGAACGGGCCGUCAUAGAGGGUGAAAAUCCCGUCUGGGAUGGGGUGUCCGCGCCCGUGUGAAGCUCCUUCGACGAGUCGAGUUGUUUGGGAAUGCAGCUCUAAAUGGGUGGUAAAUUUCAUCUAAAGCUAAAUAUUGGCCGGAGACCGAUAGCGCACAAGUAGAGUGAUCGAAAGAUGAAAAGCACUUUGAAAAGAGAGUUAAACAGCACGUGAAAUUGUUGAAAGGGAAGCGCUUGCGACCAGACUCGCCCACGGGGUUCAGCCGGCAUUCGUGCCGGUGUACUUCCCCGCGGGCGGGCCAGCGUCGGUUUGGGCGGCCGGUCAAAGGCCCUCGGAAUGUAACGCCCCCCGGGGCGUCUUAUAGCCGAGGGUGCCAUGCGGCCAGCCCAGACCGAGGAACGCGCUUCGGCUCGGACGCUGGCAUAAUGGUCGUAAGCGACCCGUCUUGAAACCACGGACCA
rnacentral:rRNA from 1 species